GCCCGAUAGGACAGAGAGGGGGGCAGGUGCAAUGGUGAGCCUUAGGAUUUGUCACAGUGGGAAGCUGGCUGCUGAUUCUAAACCAAUGGAGAUGGUAAGGUCUCUUUGGAAAUAAAUUUAGCCCUUUGUUAAGUUCCCUUUUCCAGGCCUAAUUUAAAACCUUUUCUUAUUUCCUUUAUUAAACAUGUUAUGUAGGUACAUACAGAAAACUUGGAAAUACAGAGACGCAACAACAGAGACAGAGAGACAGAGAGAGGAAGAGAUUCCCUAUAAUCGCACGAUGCAAGGAUGCCUUCUGUCAACACUGUGUUGUGCUCCUUCUAGACUUUUUCUCCAGGUGAUGCCACCACAGCAUGGCCACCAAAGAGUGGUGUUGGUCCACGCCCGGGCCACCGAAGCAGAGCACACCGAACUUAACCAAUAGGCCAGAGGCCCCUGAACUUUAUUGUAGAAUAUUGGGAUUACAUUGUUUCAUGAACUCGCUUUUUAAAAAACUGAAAAUGCAACCUGAAUAUGUUUGUGCAUCAAGGCACACCUCUUCCUGGGUGAUGAGCAUUCUGUUGUGGGCUCUUCUAGAAGUCCCUUUAUGUUCCCCAUGUGACCAGACCCCACGACCGCCCUGCAGUUUGCCCAAGAAGCCUGAGCUGCCCUCAGUGAGGACGUACCUCUUCUCCUCCAGAGCAGUUCAACUGCUCGUCACCCCUGACAAGCAAAGUCUAUGCUCCUGACCUUCCGUGGUUUCUCAGCCUUCAGCUGUGCCCCUUCCAGAAGCACAGCCGCCCCUAGGACUCCCUCCCGUGUAUGUUCCAGUCACCCCAGAAGCCUGUGGAGCUCUCUUUUCAGGGGUGCAUGCUGUGAAAAUAAGCAGGCAUUGUGUUCCCGUUCUGCAUGUAGGUUAUAUUCUUCCACUGAAUAGCAGUUUCACACGGCAUGUUCCCUGCUCUGCCGCAUCGUCUGGACCCCUUCCCACUCAGCUAGCUGCCAGUCAGCUCUGGGGGACAGGGCCCUCUGGCACAGGUAUGGCAGGCUCAGACGCAGGUGGUGAGGGACACAGGGAUGCUCACUUUCAAUGCCACUCGGAAUGGCCAGGAGGGAAGUGACUCGUCUGAGGGUUGCUCGGUUGAACCCUUGCCAGCCAACUGCUGCCAGGGACAGAAAGUGUGCACAGAGGGCAGAGACUUGGGCCUGGCUCUCAGCAAUCCAGUAGCUAGAUGUGAGACCCAGGUGUUCUGUGCCAUUGAUGUGGCAGAUCAAAGAUGGCUAAAAAUACUCUGUCAUCCCUGCACUGAGAGACAACUAUCAGCUCCUGCUUGCAACCAGCCUCCAUGUUGUGAGGAAGCCCAAGCAGCCAUGUGGAGAGGCCCAUGUGGAGAAUCUAGGCUCCAAGUCAACAGUCUCAGCUGACCUCCCCGUCAACAGCCAGCAUCAACUUGCCAGCCAUGGAGGUCAAGCAUCUUGGAAGUCGAUCCUUCAGCCCGACUUGAGCUGUCCUAGCUGAUGCCACGUGGCGCAGAGACAAGCUGUCCACAGGAGCCCUGCCCGUACUGCUAAAUCAUGAUUGCUGUUGUUUUAAGCCACUAAGUUUGGGGCCAGUUUGUUAUGCAGCAACAGAUACCUGAAACAGAGCUAGUGCUGGAACAUGGGAACUCAAAGAUGGAGACAUGUGUCUUAGCCUACGUUCCUCUCAGAAGCAGACCUCACUCAAAGGUUUGCUUGCAGUGUGUGGUUUCUUUGGGAAGUGAUCUCAGAGAGCAGGAAUGAAGACCAAAGACAGGAAGUUAGAAAAGCCAAUUUGAGGUUUGUCCCUGUGUCGUCCACCACUCCUGGUGAUUGGUGCUUGAUCCCACUGGGGUCUUCUGAGGAGCCCCAUAGAGCGAGUCUCAGAACUCUCUGCAUGAGGGAUGAAAGGGAGAAGCAUUCAGGAAGGCGGGCUCCAAACUGCCAUUGACCAGGCUGCUUCAUGGGAUGUUAAACCCCCUGCACUUCUAGGAUGUAUAUGUGUGAAUGUCACACUGGUUCCUGACGGUGCUGCAUGCUGUGACGUCAGAGAAGUCCCCUCGCAGGAAGCAGAAGACAUCUGGCAUAUGCUGGAGAUGAGGUGUUGUCAGGAUGCGGUGGACAAAAUCUGCACAAGGACAGUUUUCUGUAGCCUUGGCUGGAGCCAGAGGUGAGGCCGUGAGAAUGGGAGGUGGCCCAUAAGAGGUAUCCAGGAUGACAUGGACCUUUGAGAAACUGGCCAUGUUGCCCCUUCUCAGCAUGUGGGCAGUGGCUAUUCCAUGAAGCUGUCAGGCUAUCUUGGUUGUGCUGAAGGCUGGAGUUAUUCUAGGCUUUGCAUCCCAACCACCAGCAAUCUCCUGGUUCAGAGUUUGAAAUUGAGUCUCUUCCCCAUGCCUAAGACAUCCACCUGGUAUUGUCCUCGGCACAGUAGCUACUGGCCCAAGUGAGUGCUUGUUGCAAAGAGUUUCGAGCAGCACUGCCCAACUUUCCCCAAUAGCUCUGUCCUUGUUAGAAAAGUUCCAAGGCCUUUGUCCACCUGUCUGGCCUAAAUCGUUCACAAAAACAUUAGAGGCAUUUGGAGUCUUCCAAAAGAAAACACCUCAGGCCAGCUUACAGGAGAGCCUCUGGGCAAUUUCAAGCUAUUCCUCUGUGGCAGGGGUCAUGGAGACGGCAUUUCCAGAUUCGGCUGGAAAUCUGAAACUCAUAGGAAGGACGACCUCCUGAGAAACUCUUCUGGGAUGAUGGGGCCUGGAGAACAUGGUCUUACUGUAUCAGGUUCAGCAAGCUAGGUCCCUGUUCUCGCUCUGGCCCAGGUGCCAUGGAACCUUGGCUGGAAGCCACGUUGCCACGUUCUUAGGAUGCUGGAGCAGGAAGGCGCCUCAGAAAGGAUACACGGGUUACCUACUCCUUACCUAAAAAAUGUCGGCACUGGGAAUGGCCUCUGCUUCCUCAGCCUUUUGAGUAGGUAUAAAAGAACUUUACAGAAAAUGUCAGAAAGCCCUUUGGGCUCUUUGGAGGACAUUUUACAAGUAUUACUGUGAAGAACUAUAAUAAUAAAACAUUAAUGGUG
rnacentral:lncRNA from 1 species